rnacentral:rRNA from 1 species
GACGAACGCUGGCGGCGCGCUUAACACAUGCAAGUCGAACGGAAAGGCCUGCUUUCCCUUGUGGAUUGCGGGUACUCGAGUGGCGAACGGGUGAGUAACACGUGAGUGAUCUGCCCCCAACUUGGGUAUAAGCCUGGGAAACUGGGUCUAAUUCCCGAUAGGACUGAAGGGUGGUGCCUGUGGUGGAAAACGAUUUUCUAGUGGUUGGGGAUGAGCUCGCGGCCUAUCAGCUUGUUGGUGGGGUAAUGGCCUACCAAGGCGGCGACGGGUAGCCGGCCUGAGAGGGUGGACGGCCACAUUGGGACUGAGAUACGGCCCAGACUCCUACGGGAGGCAGCAGUGGGGAAUAUUGCACAAUGGGCGGAAGCCUGAUGCAGCGACGCCGCGUGGGGGAUGACGGCCUUCGGGUUGUAAACUCCUUUCGACCGCGAGGAAGCCACCUGGUUGGAAGGGUGGUGACGGUAGUGGUAGAAGAAGCACCGGCUAACUACGUG